rnacentral:rRNA from 1 species
GACGAAGGGGGCUAGCGUUGUUCGGAAUUAUACUGGGCGUAAAGCGCGUUGUAGGCGGUUGUUCAAGUCAUGGUGUGAAAGCCUUGAGCUCAACUCAAGAAAUGCACUUGAUACUGGAUGACUAGAGGACCGGAGAGGAUAGUGGAAUUCCCAGUGUAGUGGUGAAAUACGUAGAGAUUGGGAAGAACACCAGUGGCGAAGGCGGCUAUCUGGAACGGUUUCAUGACGCUAGGACGGCGAAAGCGUGGGGAGCAAACAAGGAUUGAGAUAACCCGUGUAGUUCCAGAACCCAAGGUCUCCUGACGUCACCCGUA